rnacentral:rRNA from 1 species
GCCGCGUGAGUGAUGAAGGUUUUCGGAUCGUAAAACUCUGUUGUUAGGGAAGAACAAGUACCGUUCGAAUAGGGCGGUACCUUGACGGUACCUAACCAGAAAGCCACGGCUAACUACGUGCCAGCAGCCGCGGUAAUACGUAGGUGGCAAGCGUUGUCCGGAAUUAUUGGGCGUAAAGCGCGCGCAGGUGGUUUCUUAAGUCUGAUGUGAAAGCCCCCGGCUCAACCGGGGAGGGUCAUUGGAAACUGGGAGACUUGAGUGCAGAAGAGGAAAGUGGAAUUCCAAGUGUAGCGGUGAAAUGCGUAGAGAUUUGGAGGAACACCAGUGGCGAAGGCGACUUUCUGGUCUGUAACUGACACUGAGGCGCGAAAGCGUGGGGAGCGAACAGGAUUAGAUACCCUGGUAGUCCACGCCGUAAACGAUGAGUGCUAAGUGUUAGAGGGUUUCCGCCCUUUAGUGCUGCAGCAAACGCAUUAAGCACUCCGCCUGGGGAGUACGGCCGCAAGGCUGAAACUCAAAGGAAUUGACGGGGGCCCGCACAAGCGGUGGAGCAUGUGGUUUAAUUCGAAGCAACGCGAAGAACCUUACCAGGUCUUGACAUCCUCUGACAAUCCUAGAGAUAGGACGUUCCCCUUCGGGGGACAGAGUGACAGGUGGUGCAUGGUUGUCGUCAGCUCGUGUCGUGAGAUGUUGGGUUAAGUCCCGCAACGAGCGCAACCCUUGAUCUUAGUUGCCAGCAUUCAGUUGGGCACUCUAAGGUGACUGCCGGUGACAAACCGGAGGAAGGUGGGGAUGACGUCAAAUCAUCAUGCCCCUUAUGACCUGGGCUACACACGUGCUACAAUGGAUGGUACAAAGGGCUGCAAGACCGCGAGGUUUAGCCAAUCCCAUAAAACCAUUCUCAGUUCGGAUUGCAGGCUGCAACUCGCCUGCAUGAAGCCGGAAUCGCUAGUAAUCGCGGAUCAGCAUGCCGCGGUGAAUACGUUCCCGGGCCUUGUACACACCGCCCGUCACACCACGAGAGUUUGUAACACCCGAAGUCGGUGGGGUAACCGCAAGGAGCCAGCCGCCUAAGGUGGGACAGAUGAUUGGGGUGAAGUCGUAACAAGGUAGCCGUAUCGGAAGGUGCGGCUGGAUCACCUCCUUUCUAA